GACGAACGCUGGCGGCGUGCCUAAUACAUGCAAGUCGAACGCAGUGGGGACGGGUGAGUAACACGUGGGUAACCUCCCAUCAGAGGGGAUAACACUUGGAAACAGGGUCUAAACCGAUACUGAUGGAUGGACACGCGGUGCAUUAGCUAUUUGGUGAGGUAACGGCUCACCAAGUCCACGAUGCAUAGCCGACCUGAGGGGGUGAUCGGCCAACCUGGAACUGAGCCCCGGCCCAGACUCCUACGGGAGGCAGCAUGAGGGAAUCUUCGGCAAUGGACGAAAGUCUGACCGACCAACGCCGCGUGAGUGAAGAAGGUUUUCGGAUCGUAAAGCUCUUUUGUUAUAGAAGCGGUAUCUAACCAGAAAGCCACGGCUAACUACGUGCCAGCAGCCGCGGUAAUAC
rnacentral:rRNA from 1 species